rnacentral:rRNA from 1 species
UACGUAGGGUGCAAGCGUUAAUCGGAAUUACUGGGCGUAAAGCGUGCGCAGGCGGUUGUGCAAGACCGAUGGGAAAUCCCCGGGCUUAACCUGGGAAUGGCAUUGGUGACUGCACGGCUAGAGUGUGUCAGAGGGGGGUAGAAUUCCACGUGUAGCAGUGAAAUGCGUAGAGAUGUGGAGGAAUACCGGUGGCGAAGGCAGCCCCCUGGGAUAACACUGACGCUCAUGCACGAAAGCGUGGGGAGCAAACAGG